rnacentral:lncRNA from 1 species
CCUGGAGUGAGCCAGAACAGCCUCGUCGUAAGGCCGGGUCACUUGGUUGGCACAGGUAUUCUGGGCCAGGAUAAUCCUGGAGCAUGGACCCUAAGACCCUCAUGUUUAGAGAAGAAGGCCAGGUGUCACACAACACAAGCUGUGAGACAUCCCUUUGGGCUGCAGAAGCAGGCAGGCCACUGGGAGUGAGGAGAGAGCAUCCCCUUCACUCAGGACUGAGAGCAAGAAGGGAGUGGAAACCCCUUUUAUGGGCUUGCAAUUCAAGUUCAGGAGCCCUGGCCUCCUUCCUGCCCAGCCUUUUGACCACAUCCUAUUACGAAAUCUUCAAAGCCUGGCCUUGACACAGCUCGGGAGUGGACGUGUGAUUUCUUCUUCUCAGACCAAAAGAUGCAGGAGGACCUGGCUAAUACACACUUUCACAUACCCAACAUUUGUCAUGAUGUUUGACCCAAGCCAAACAACAGUGAGGUUUUGCUGUCUCCUUGUGCCCUUGAGUAUCACCUGAAAAUCUAGGUGUUCUGUGCAGCCACUUCCAUUUGUCACUGCAUUCAUGAACUCAAAUGUAUGUGCAAGCAAGUAUAGUUGCUGUGCCCUUAAGGACACACUUAGGUUAAGGGGACCUACAGACUUUCAGACAUGUUGCCUCUGCUGCUGGGGUAUUGCCUUUCAAGACCUGCUCUUCAGAAAGGUGGCACACCUGCAGGGCUCCUGUCCACUGAACUAUCUGCCAAUGGCUGAGGGGUUUUGUCUGAACCCCAAGUGCCCAAAGUCUUUUCUUAGGCCGUCUUUCAUGAAGGGAACCAAAGCCCUCCCCACACCUGCCCAGACGCCUGCCCUGGGGGAUUAGGCUGCAUUACUCCUGUAUGAAAUGCUGUAAUCUCUGCUGCAAAGGAGCUUAUGUGCCACGCGACCAGGGAGCCAGCUGGGGGUCUGUUGGCUAAGGUGGCUGUACAGGGCUGCCACCUGCCUGGGUGGGUCUCAUGGUAAUUUAAGAACGUGAAGGAUGGCCCCUGUUCCAUUUGUAAGGCAAAUGCCCACAGCAAAUUUGCUUAGUCUAAUUUGUUAUAAAUGCACUAAAAAUGGAAAAAUCACAAUGCAUUGGGUCAGAUUACAGCAACUCAUUGUAUGUGAAGGAAAAAACCUCUCGUAUUAGUUUUCCUAUGCUUCAGAGUUUUAUUUGGUCUUUUGCAGAGAAGUG